AUGAUGCUAAAUAUAAAUAGAUCUGUGUGUGACACCAAUGUUUGUUCUUGUUUUCUCGCCUCAGUUUGGUUAAGAAGAAAGCAGAAACCACAGACUUCGCCAGGAUGAAACCGGCACAGAAACGAAAACAUCUUGAAACGGAAGUGUCUUUCUUCAGCGAAGCCUUGAAAAAUCCCUCCUUCAAGAUCAACCCUUUAGCUGCGAUCGGUGAUCAUCUGCGAAAACGACUCAAACAGGAAGACGAACAGAGUUAAUCACAACUUCUGGUAGACUACAGGAACUACAACUUCUUAAAUACACUCAUUUGGUGAAAUGAAAUAAGACAGUUUUGUAGUACAUAAAAUGAUUAGAAUGCAAAGAAGAAAAAAAAGCAUAAUCUGCAUUAUCUGUCACAUCAUCAAAGCACAGAGAACAGUUAAUUGCAGUUUCCUAAUUUUAUAAACGAGCGAUCAGGUUAUGUGAUAUUUAAUGACUGUAUUCAGUUUGUCUGUUUCGGGCUAUAAAUAAAUCUGUUAGAAAAGUA
ensembl:processed_transcript